GGUGACUCAGUGGUAAAGUGCUUGUCUUGCAUGCAUGAGGACCUGGGUUCGAUUCCCCAGCACCA
rnacentral:tRNA from 1 species